AUUGAACGCUGGCGGCAGGCCUAACACAUGCAAGUCGAGCGGAUGAAGGGAGCUUGUUCCUGGAUUCAGCGGCGGACGGGUGAGUAAUGCCUAGGAAUCUGCCUGGUAGUGGGGGAUAACGUCCGGAAACGGGCGCUAAUACCGCAUACGUCCUGAGGUAGAAAGUGGGGGAUCUUCGGACCACACGCUAUCAGAUGAGCCUAGGUCGGAUUAGCUAGUUGGUGUGGUAACGGCCUACCAAGGCGACGAUCCGUAACUGGUCUGAGAGGAUGAUCAGUCACACUGGAACUGAGACACGGUCCAGACUCCUACGGGAGGCAGCAGUGGGGAAUAUUGGGCAAUGGGCGAAAGCCUGAUCCAGCCAUGCCGCGUGUGUGAAGAAGGUCUUCGGAUUGUAAAGCACUUUAAGUUGGGAGGAAGAGAAGUAAGUUAAUACCUUGCUGUUUUGACGUUACCAACAGAAUAAGCACCGGCUAACUUCGUG
rnacentral:rRNA from 1 species